rnacentral:rRNA from 1 species
UACGAAGGGUGCAAGCGUUACUCGGAAUUACUGGGCGUAAAGCGUGCGUAGGUGGUUUGUUAAGUCUGAUGUGAAAGCCCUGGGCUCAACCUGGGAACGGCAUUGGAAACUGGCUUACUAGAGUGCGGUAGAGGGGUGUGGAAUUCCCGGUGUAGCAGUGAAAUGCGUAGAUAUCGGGAGGAACAUCUGUGGCGAAGGCGACACCCCGGACCAGCACUGACACUGAGGCACGAAAGCGUGGGGAGCAAACAGG